AACGAACGCUGGCGGCAUGCCUAACACAUGCCAGUCGAACGAGACCUUCGGGUCUAGUGGCGCACGGGUGCGUAACGCGUGGGAACCUGCCCUUAGGUUCGGAAUAACUCCCCGAAAGGGGUGCUAAUACCGGAUAAUGUCUUCGGACCAAAGAUUUAUCGUCUUUGGAUGGGCCUGCGUUGGAUUAGCUAGUUGGUAGGGUAAAAGCCUACCAAGGCGACGAUCCAUAGCUGGUCUGAGAGGAUGAUCAGCCACACUGGGACUGAGACACGGCCCAGACUCCUACGGGAGGCAGCAGUGGGGAAUAUUGGACAAUGGGCGAAAGCCUGAUCCAGCAAUGCCGCGUGAGUGAUGAAGGCCUUAGGGUUGUAAAGCUCUUUUACCCGGGAUGAUAAUGACAGUACCGGGAGAAUAAGCUCCGGCUAACUCCGUG
rnacentral:rRNA from 1 species